rnacentral:rRNA from 1 species
UACGAAGGGGGCUAGCGUUGCUCGGAGUUACUGGGCGUAAAGCGCACGUAGGCGGAUCGUUAAGUCGGGGGUGAAAUCCUGGAGCUCAACUCCAGAACUGCCUUCGAUACUGGAAGACUUGAGUCCGGGAGAGGUGAGUGGAACUGCGAGUGUAGAGGUGAAAUUCGUAGAUAUUCGCAAGAACACCAGUGGCGAAGGCGGCUCACUGGCCCGGUACUGACGCUGAGGUGCGAAAGCGUGGGGAGCAAACAGG